rnacentral:lncRNA from 1 species
ACAAGAACUUUUCCAAGGCUUGUAAUGAGGCUGGACUAUCAAGAAAAAUUGGUUUUUCUGGAAUACAAAAUCCUUGAGUUAAGAGAGUUUUAAAUCAACAUUCAAAGUUCAAGCACACUCUCAUUUUAACCAAUCUCACUCAUUCCCAACUUCUUCCCUUUUUCCAUUAUUUUUACAUUGAGCUCACUUUACAUGCUUUUUCUUUUCUUCUUUUCCUUUCUUUUUCUCAUGCAUUUUUCUUUUUCAACUUUUGAACUCAAUGCUUUUCUUUUGCCUUUCACUUUCCCCAUACAAACCCAAACUUGAACCUUUUCAACACAUACAAUUAUUCUCAACCCAACUCAAGGUGAAUCAAUUCAAACAAGGUUUUUCAUACUGUUUAAGGCCAAGGUUCAAAAAGGGUAUAUCAUUUA